UCUUGACUUGUCGCGCAAACAAGCAGAGUGCGGUGAGUAUACCUCGACGGUUCGGAACAAGAAGAAGAAGAAGAGGCGCAACGAGUAGUAGCGUCGACCGGAAAAGAGAUGGAGGACGUCGUCACCGAGUCGCCGCCGCCCUCGAGGUUCUUCCAGGAAGACCUCGACAACUUCGCCGCUCCACCGCCGCCUCUGCCCCCGCCGCUCCUCCUCCUGGACCCCAAACUCGGGCCGGACCACAUCCGCCCUCCCCUCCUCAUCGUCGCCCUCUCCGCCCCCUCCCUCGCCAUCCUUCAUCGGAUCCCUCACAAGAUUCUCAUCGGAACUCUAAUCCUGCCGGAGACCCCCCUCGCCGGAAACUCCUUCGAGCCCUGCCCCCGCGACCGCUCUUGCUACAUCUACGCUGUCGACCAUCGGCCGGCGUCGGCGGUCCUCGUCGCCGUUCAGUUCCCGGUCGCCGCCGAGAGGGCCCGCGCCGUCGCGAAGUCGUUGCUUGGUGCGAUCCAGGCGGAGAGGGUCUUGAUCUUUGGUUCGAUCGGGAGCCAGAACUACAGGGGGCGGUUGGCAGUGGACGAAACCCUAGUUUUUAAACUGGAGACGGUGGAGGAGAGAAGCGGUGGGCAGCCGCUGGUGCAGGGAGUGGAUUACUUGCCGUCGGGAAGUGUGAUGGAUGGCCUCGGGGCGGCAGUUAUCGCAGAGUGCCAGAUGCGGAGGGCAAAGGGGACGCUGGUGGCAACAUGGCCGGCGAAUGGUCGAUCUACUGUGGUGCCGAUCAUUAGGUCAUUGUUGCAGGGCUUGAGCAUUGAUGUCGGUGCGUCUGAUGCUGAUGAUGAGUUUGAUGCUGGAUGCUCGUUUUCUUCUCGAUAUGUGUCAGAUUUGUAUACCUGAUGACGAGGCUGGGGGUUGAUGCAGCUACAAUCAAUAGAUUGCAUGGUGUCAUUGUAGCCUAUUAGAAGAUGGAUCUGGAAGCAUGCUGCAAGUACUAUUGAUUACAUAUAAUCGAAUAAAUCAAGAUGGACACAACUAGGAAUUGCACGAGGCAAGAGAACAAACAUCAUCAUCGGCCAUGGAUGAGGUGGGAAUGCAAGAAUCAUAUAUGAACCGGACUCUCUUUGGCAGUUGAAGUAGAGAGCGGCGACGGGGGAACCCAAAUUGUAGAGCUCGGCGAAGUCCCUGGUGUUGAAGUUUUGGCGCCACCCAGGGGCGUACACCGUCUCCCGCCCCAGCUGCUGGAACA